rnacentral:rRNA from 1 species
UACAGAGGGUGCAAGCGUUGUUCGGAAUUAUUGGGCGUAAAGGGCUCGUAGGCGGUCUGUCGCGUCGAAAGUGAAAACCCAGGGCUUAACCCUGGGCCUGCUUCCGAUACGGGCAGACUAGAGGUAUGCAGGGGAGAACGGAAUUCCUGGUGUAGCGGUGAAAUGCGCAGAUAUCAGGAGGAACACCGGUGGCGAAGGCGGUUCUCUGGGCAUUACCUGACGCUGAGGAGCGAAAGUGUGGGGAGCGAACAGG